UUUCCGUAGGUGAACCUGCGGAAGGAUCAUUAAUGAGUUGUCAUGGGGUUCGAUGCUGGCAGCCAGUUUUUGGAUGCAUGUGCUUGCCCUAACAAUCAUCUUCUUCCAAACACCUGUGCACAUUUUUGAGGGAGUCUUGAGUUGGUUGCCGCUCUUGGGUGAUUUUCUCACAUUCCCUUAAAUCAUUAUACGCUAUUAACAAUAUUGAACGUGCUCUGUGCCGCAAGGCCAUUAAUAUAAUACAACUUUUAACAACGGAUCUCUUGGCUCUC
rnacentral:misc_RNA from 1 species